rnacentral:rRNA from 1 species
UACAGAGGAUGCAAGCGUUAUCCGGAAUCAUUGGGCGUAAAGCGCACGUAGGCGGCUUCGCAAGUCGGAUGUGAAAUCCCUAGGCUCAACCAAGGACGUGCAUCCGAAACUGCGAGGCUUGAGUACAGAAGAGGAUCGCGGAAUUCCCGGUGUAGAGGUGAAAUGCGUAGAUAUCGGGAGGAACACCAGUGGCGAAGGCGGCGAUCUGGGCUGAUACUGACGCUGAGGUGCGAAAGCGUGGGGAGCAAACAGG